UACGUAGGGGGCUAGCGUUGUCCGGAAUCAUUGGGCGUAAAGAGCGUGUAGGCGGCUCGGUAAGUCCGCUGUGAAAGUCCAGGGCUCAACCCUGGAAAGCCGGUGGAAACUGUCGAGCUAGAGUCCGGAAGAGGCGAGUGGAAUUCCCGGUGUAGCGGUGAAAUGCGCAGAUAUCAGGAGGAACACCAGUGGCGAAGGCGGCGACCUGGGCCAAUAUUGACGCUGAGGUGCGAAAGCGUGGGGAGCAAACAGG
rnacentral:rRNA from 1 species